rnacentral:rRNA from 1 species
AGUGAACGCUGGCGGCAGGCCUAACACAUGCAAGUCGAACGGCAACACAGUAAGAGCUUGCUCUUACGGGUGGCGAGUGGCGGGCGGGUGAGGAAUACAUCGGAAUCUACUUUUUCGUGGGGGAUAACGUAGGGAAACUUACGCUAAUACCGCAUACGACCUACGGGUGAAAGCAGGGGAUCUUCGGACCUUUCGCGUCUGAAUGAGCCGAUGUCGGAUUAGCUAGUUGGCGGGGUAAAGGCCCACCAAGGCGACGAUCCGUAGCUGGUCUGAGAGGAUGAUCAGCCACACUGGAACUGAGACACGGUCCAGACUCCUACGGGAGGCAGCAGUGGGGAAUAUUGGGCAAUGGGCGCAAGCCUGAUCCAGCCAUGCCGCGUGGGUGAAGAAGGCCUUCGGGUUGUAAAGCCCUUUUGUUGGGAAAGAAAAGCAGCAGGUUAAUCCCCCGCUGUUCUGACGGUACCCAAAGAAUAAGCACCGGCUAACUUCGUG